GCCUGGCUGGCUCAGUCGAUAGAGCAUGAGAUUCUUGAUCUCAGGGUCAUGAGUUUGAGCCCCAUGGUGGGGG
rnacentral:tRNA from 1 species